rnacentral:rRNA from 1 species
AUGGAUCUAAUUGUUUGGCCUGAAAGUGGUAAGCUUACCAUAAAAUCCGACAUGUACAGGUUUGGUGUUCUUCUGCUGGAGCUGAUCACCAGGAGAACAAUCUAUGAUGCUUCGAGGCCUAAACCAGAGCAGAGCUUGCUAACAUGGAAAACUACUACGGAUGCUGAUCCAUCACAAUAUUGA